rnacentral:lncRNA from 1 species
CAGCUCCUGCCUGCACUUCGUGUCUGCCACCAGCCCGGAGGCCCUGGCUGCCCACGGGGGCCACAUCCUGCCCGGGGAUGAGAUCGUGCAGGUCAACGAGCAGGUGGUGGUGGGUUGGACGCCUGUCAGCCUGGCCAGGAAGCUGCUGGAGAAGGGGAACAGGGUGACUUUGGUGCUGAAGAAGAUCCCCCUCGACCUGCCCGGCCCACCCCCCUCUCCCAGGCAGCAGGCGAGUGAUCCCAGUGCUCCCAGUCCAGCCCCAGUGCUGCACUGGGAAUCAGACAGGGAUGCUCAGGGCUGGGCAUCUCCCAUCACCCUGGAGAUUCCUAAAGCUCUGGGCUCCAUGGUGGGGUGGGGCUGGCACUGACGCUCAUCCACAGCCCCCAGGAGCAUUUUUGGAUGCUGCAGAUUCCCCUGGCACCAGGAGCGGUGAGAGCCCAGGCAGCCCCGUGUCCUUGACCUCCAGGUGAGCCCCAUCCCGACACCCCAGCACCCCAGUCUGGCCAGCAAGGAGAUGUUUGGGUGCAUUCAGGGCCUUUCCCAGCCCUUUUUUAAGGGGAGAGGUGCCAGCAGUGCAGCAGCUGCCUGUGAGCAGCCCGGGACGCUGACAGGAGUCUUAAGGAAUGACAAAAAGGGGAGUUUGUAAUUCAUUCACUUGGUAACGUUUUAGCGGGGCUGGAACUAUAUUUAGCCAU